UACGUAGGGGGCAAGCGUUGUCCGGAUUUACUGGGCGUAAAGAGCGCGCAGGCGGUCGCUCAAGUCGCGUGUGAAAGCCCCCGGCUCAACUGGGGAGGGUCACGCGAUACUGAUCGACUCGAAGGCAGGAGAGGGUAGUGGAAUUCCCGGUGUAGUGGUGAAAUGCGUAGAUAUCGGGAGGAACACCAGUGGCGAAGGCGACUACCUGGCCUGUUCUUGACGCUGAGGCGCGAAAGCUAGGGGAGCAAACGGG
rnacentral:rRNA from 1 species